AAAGCACAGCAUACCCAGAAGAGCUGGA
rnacentral:piRNA from 1 species